rnacentral:rRNA from 1 species
CGAAGGUGGCAAGCGUUACUCGGAAUUACUAGGCGUAAAGGGCAGGUAGGUGGCUUGAUAAGUCUGUUGUGUAAGCUCCUGGCUUAACUGGGAGAGGUCAACAGAUACUGUCAAGCUUGAGUGUAGGAGAGGGUACUGGAAUUCCCGGUGUAGCGGUGAAAUGCGCAGAGAUCGGGAGGAACACCAAUGGCGAAAGCAGGUACCUGGACUAUUACUGACACUAAGCUGCGAAAGCUAGGGGAGCAAACAGGAUUAGAUACCCUGGUAGUCCUAGCUGUAAACGAUGUACAUUAGACGUGAGGGGUAUCGACCCCCUUCGUGUCGACGCAAACGCAUUAAAUGUACCGCCUGGGGAGUACGGCCGCAAGGUUG